ensembl:snRNA U6 U6 spliceosomal RNA
GUGAUCACAUCAGCAGCACAUAUACUAAAACUGGAAAAGUACGGAGAAGAUUAGCAUGGCCCCCGUGCAGGGAUGCCACACAAAUUCAUGAAAUGUUCCAUAUUUUU